rnacentral:rRNA from 1 species
GGGGGGGCAAGCGUUUGUUCGGAUUUACUGGGCGUAAAGGGCUCGUAGGCGGCCACCUAAGUCGAUUGUGAAAUCCCUCGGCUCAACCGGGGAACUGCGACCGAUACUGGGUGGCUUGAAGCCGGGAGAGGGAUGCGGAAUUCCAGGUGUAGCGGUGAAAUGCGUAGAUAUCUGGAGGAACACCCGUGGCGAAGGCGGCAUCCUGGACCGGCCUUGACGCUGAGGAGCGAAAGCUAGGGGAGCGAACGGGAUUAGAUACCCCGGGUAGUCCUAGCCCUAAACGAUGAAUGCUUGGUGUGGCGGGUAUCGAUCCCCUGCCCGUGCCGUAGCUAACGCGUUAAGCAUUCCGCCUGGGGAGUACGGUCGCAAGGCUG